rnacentral:rRNA from 1 species
CGGGUGCACUGAUCCAGCCGGGCCUUUCCCUCUGUGGAACCCCAUGGCCUUCACUGGCUGUGGUGGGGAAACAGGACUUUUACUUUGAAAAAAUUAGAGUGCUCCAGGCAGGCCUAUGCUCGAAUACAUUAGCAUGGAAUAAUAGAAUAGGACGUGUGGUUCUAUUUUGUUGGUUUCUAGGACCGCCGUAAUGAUUAAUAGGGACAGUCGGGGGCAUCAGUAUUCAAUUGUCAGAGGUGAAAUUCUUGGAUCUAUUGAAGACUAACUACUGCGAAAGCAUUUGCCAAGGAUGUUUUCAUUGAUAAGGAACGAAAGUUAGGGGAUCGAAGACGAUCAGAUACCGUCGUAGUCUUAACUAUAAACUAUGCCGACUAGGGAUCGGACGAUGUUAUUCUUUGACGCGUUCGGCACCUUUCGAGAAAUCAAAGUGCUUGGGCUCCAGGGGGAGUAUGGUCGCAAGGCUGAAACUUAAAGAAAUUGACGGAAGGGCACCACCAGGGGUGGAACCUGCGGCUUAAUUUGACUCAACACGGGGAAACUCACCGGGUCCAGACACAGUGAGGAUUGACAGAUUGAGAGCUCUUUCUUGAUUCUGUGGGUGGUGGUGCAUGGCCGUUCUUAGUUGGUGGAGUGAUUUGUCUGCUUAAUUGCGAUAACGAACGAGACCUUAACCUGCUAAAUAGCCCGUACUGCUUUGGCAGUUCGCCGGCUUCUUAGAGGGACUAUCGG